AGUGAACGCUGGCGGUAGGCCUAACACAUGCAAGUCGAACGGCAGCACAGUAAGAGCUUGCUCUUACGGGUGGCGAGUGGCGGACGGGUGAGGAAUACAUCGGAAUCUACUUUUUCGUGGGGGAUAACGUAGGGAAACUUACGCUAAUACCGCAUACGACCUACGGGUGAAAGCAGGGGAUCUUCGGACCUUGCGCGAUUGAAUUAGCCGAUGUCGGAUUAGCUAGUUGGCGGGGUAAAGGCCCACCAAGGCGACGAUCCGUAGCUGGUCUGAGAGGAUGAUCAGCCACACUGGAACUGAGACACGGUCCAGACUCCUACGGGAGGCAGCAGUGGGGAAUAUUGGACAAUGGGCGCAAGCCUGAUCCAGCCAUACCGCGUGGGUGCAGAAGGCCUUCGGGUUGUAAAGCCCUUUUGUUGGGAAAGAAAAGCAGCAGGUUAAUACCCCGCUGUUCUGACGGUACCCAAAGAAUAAGCACCGGCUAACUUCGUG
rnacentral:rRNA from 1 species